AGUGAACGCUGGCGGUAGGCCUAACACAUGCAAGUCGAACGGCAGCACAGUAAGAGCUUGCUCUUACGGGUGGCGAGUGGCGGACGGGUGAGGAAUACAUCGGAAUCUACUUUUUCGUGGGGGAUAACGUAGGGAAAUUUACGCUAAUACCGCAUACGACCUACGGGUGAAAGCAGGGGAUCUUCGGACCUUUCGCGAUUGAAUGAGCCGAUGUCGGAUUAGCUAGUUGGCGGGGUAAAGGCCCACCAAGGCGACGAUCCGUAGCUGGUCUGAGAGGAUGAUCAGCCACACUGGAACUGAGACACGGUCCAGACUCCUACGGGAGGCAGCAGUGGGGAAUAUUGGACAAUGGGCGCAAGCCUGAUCCAGCCAUACCGCGUGGGUGAAGAAGGCCUUCGGGUUGUAAAGCCCUUUUGUUGGGAAAGAAAAGCAGCAGGUUAAUACCCCGCUGUUCUGACGGUACCCAAAGAAUAAGCACCGGCUAACUUCGUG
rnacentral:rRNA from 1 species